GACGAACGCUGGCGGCGUGCUUAACACAUGCAAGUGGAGCGACGAACCAGGGCUUGCCCUGGGGCAGAGCCGCGAACGGGUGAGUAACACGUGGGUUACCUGCCCCGAUGACCGGGACAACCCGAGGAAACUCGGGCUAAUACCGGAUGUGGUCUACGGACGAAAGGAAGCUUCGGCCUCCGCAUCGGGAUGGGCCCGCGGCGCAUUAGCUUGUUGGUGGGGUAACGGCCUACCAAGGCGACGAUGCGAGCUGGUCUGAGAGGACGAUCAGCCACACUGGGACUGAGACACGGCCCAGACUCCUACGGGAGGCAGCAGUGGGGAAUCUUGCGCAAUGCGCGAAAGCGUGACGCAGCAACGCCGCGUGAGGGAAGACGGCCU
rnacentral:rRNA from 1 species